GCUUCUCACCGCGCUGCCGCGGUACAUGUUUCAUGUAACGAGGAAAGUCCGGACAGCAUAGGGCAAUACACCGGCUAACGGCCGGGGGGCGGGCAACCGUUCACAGAAAGUGCCACAGAAAAUAACUGCCCGUUUCGCUUUGGCGAAACAGGUGAGGGUGAAAACGUAGGGUAAGAGCCUACGGUAGCCGGCAGUAAUGCCGGUUGGGGGUAAACCUUGUAUGCUGAAAUGCCAUGUAAACCGGUGGCUGAGGGCGGCUCGCCCGAUGGUUCCGAAAGGGCCAACGCCGGAGGGUAGGCAGAUAGAUCGCAAUAGUAAUGUUGCGGCCAGAUAAAUGGUAGCGGCCUGUUAUGGGUAAAACCAAAACAGGAACAGAAUCCGGCUUACAGGUGAGAAGUUUAU
rnacentral:RNase_P_RNA from 2 species